rnacentral:rRNA from 1 species
AGUGACAAGAAAUAACAAUACAGGGCCUAACGGUCUUGUAAUUGGAAUGAGUGAAGUAUAAACCCCUUUACGAGUAUCAAUUGGAGGGCAAGUCUGGUGCCAGCAGCCGCGGUAAUUCCAGCUCCAAUAGCGUAUAUUAAAGUUGUUGCAGUUAAAAAGCUCGUAGUUGGAUUUCUGUUGUAUAAUUUUAUAAUAUUACCAAGGUAAUUAUUAUAUUAUCAACAUCCUUCCUAUUAUAUUCUAAAUAUAUAGGAAAUUUUACUUUGAGAAAAUUAAGGUGCUUAAAGCAGG